rnacentral:lncRNA from 10 species
AAUCACCUGGGACUGCUCCUUUACUCUCUGCAGCUGGCUGAGGAGGCUGGCAUAUUGCAACUUCUCCAUCACACCUGAGGAUGCAGGAAAACUCCCCUAGUCUCAAAGUAAAAGAAAUGUUUUAGAACAAAACCACGGAAAUAGACCUCUCCCCAGGGCUGGAAGUCAGGGCUUGUGAUAACGUAUUUACAUCUUUUGAAAUAACGGAAUCUAGUACAAAUACAUGUUUCCUUCUACCAUUUUACAGAAUUGUCUUAUACCUCUUUUUCUAGUAGGUAAAUAUACAUAAAAGGGAGUCCUUUGGAGAACUGUUGAGACGGAUUUGCUGAUUGUCUUGCAUUAGGGAGCUAGGCUGAGGGGAAAAGAGGGGACUAAAUUUGAAUCUGCACUUCACUCACCCAGGAGUGAUCCCACAGAGCUGUGUCUGCCUAGAAGGGGCGACUUUAUCUAUAUCACCAAAGCAUCAUAAAAGGUGCAAUAGGACGGCUAGAGGGAACUGGAGCUGGAUAUUUCCCUUCUCUCAGAAAUGAAUGGCAGUAUCAUCAGAACAACCACCCAUAUGUUUUCCCAAAGCAAGACAUUGUGAGGUGUUAAGAGAUAUAUGCAGAGUCUCGCUCUGUCUCGCCCAGGCUGGAGUGCAGUGGUGUCAUCUUGGUUCACUGUGGCCUCUCCCUCCCGGGUUCAAGUGAUUCU